rnacentral:rRNA from 1 species
AGCGUUGUCCGGAAUCAUUGGGCGGAAAGAGCGUGUAGGCGGCCAGAUAAGUCCGCUGUGAAAUCUCGAGGCUCAACUUCGAGCUGUCGGUGGAAACUGUCUGGCUAGAGUCCGGAAGAGGCGAGUGGAAUUCCCGGUGUAGCGGUGAAAUGCGCAGAUAUCGGGAGGAACACCUAUGGCGAAGGCAGCUCGCUGGGACGUUACUGACGCUGAGACGCGAAAGCGUGGGGAGCAAACAGG